rnacentral:piRNA from 1 species
UGUUCUGUCACCUUGCCAUCCCUACAUCA